rnacentral:rRNA from 1 species
UAGGAAAUUUGAGAAGACCUGUCCUUAGUACGAGAGGACCGGGAUGGACGUACCUCUGGUGUACCAGUUGUUCUGCCAAGGGCAUGGCUGGGUAGCUAUGUACGGAAUGGAUAAGCGCUGAAAGCAUCUAAGCGCGAAGCCAACUUCAAGAUAAGAUUUCCCACCGCAAGGGUAAGACCCCAGAAAGACUAUCUGGUUGAUAGGUCGAAGGUGUAAGUGCAGCAAUGUAUUUAGCUUAUCGAUACUAAUAGGUCGAGGACUUGACCAAU